GGAGACCUGGCAACACAGCAUGUCUGUUGUUAGCAGAACCUCUGGAAGGUGGAGGCGCUUUGCGGCUCGCUGGAUGGAUGGCACAUGGAUGUUUCCCAUGAUUUUCCUGGAGUGAACUAUGGGAUGCUAAAGCAGUUAAAGCCAGGUGUAUUUUUUCAGCAGUGAUGCCGUCCCUCUGUCUUUGAGGCCUCUAUGCAGACGACAACAACCCUGCAGACUUUCUCUAAACUCAGGCUAACGUGGAGAGAUCCAGGUUGAGUGAGUAGGGAAGAAGCAGGAGAGAACUCCAGAUAAAUAAUUUCCUGUUGGUGUAGCUUUAUUCCUGCUGUGAAAUACUGAGUUUCCUUCUGGAGUUCAAACACACUGAGUGCAUAGGAACUUCAUACAAAAAUGCACUCACUUAUUUUUACUCCAUUUGUGUAUUUGUGAGCAAAAGUCAGCGCUCAAAGCAAACAUUUAACCUGUGCAACCUCAAACAUUCCUGUGUGCACACACCUGCAAGACAAACAGCAAAACUUGCUGGACUUUGGACACUGAAUCAAUGCUUGAGUCAAUGUUUAACCUCAGUUUGGUUGAAGUGUGCUUGGCUUGUAUUUAGACUUGCUGAUUAUUACAAACCAAACCUGAAACACAGUAAGAGCUGAAGGAAGAGCAGGUGUAGAAGGUGACGUCUGAUGUGUUUGCAGCAGAUUCUGCAGAACAUCUGAGCUCUUGGUCCUGACGAGUGCAGGAACAGCUCCCCCGGGCCUCUGCUGAACGGAAUUUCCUAAAAGUGGCAUCAGGAUGAAUCUGAGAUGAAAAGCAGCCAGUUUCAGGUGACCAAACGUCACCAUGCAAAAACCAAACCGAACACUAGGGAUCUUCUUUAUUAUCAUUCAUGAAUUGUUGUCUCUGCAGGUCACAGAGAAAGGACUGAAGGAAGCACCGAGAUUCUGUGACGAGCAGCUCUCUCCGUGUCGGACACUUUCCGGUCUCCGCGCUGAUCGCACCUUUUAAAGCGCACACACUGACCACUGAUGGCAGCAGUUUCUCUGCUUUUCCAUCCUGUUCGUCCGCCUGCUUCAGCCCUUCAGCCAUGUUCUCAUUCACAAACUCUUCUCUGAUGUUCGUGUGUCGUUCAUGUAAAACGUGCAUGUCAUGUGUUCACUGUACAGAUGCUGCUGCUGACCUUACAUAACAUUGCCCUCAUCCCGGGCUCUGUUAAAGCGUCAGAUCCAGUGCUGGCGUUCAGCUGCUGAUGCCCAGCCCGCCGCUGCAUGCAUGACAUGCGUUCAGCACCACCAGCAUCCCUAACAUGACACGAUUCCACGUCUUUUC
ensembl:lncRNA